UACGGAGGUCUCAAGCGUUGUUCGGAUUCAUUGGGCGUAAAGGGUGCGUAGGCGGCGCGGUAAGUCGGGUGUGAAAUCUUGGAGCUUAACUCCGAAACUGCAGUCGAUACUGCCGUGCUUGAGGACUGGAGAGGAGACUGGAAUUUACGGUGUAGCGGUGAAAUGCGUAGAUAUCGUAAGGAACACCAGUGGCGAAGGCGGGUCUCUGGACAGUUCCUGACGCUGAGGCACGAAGGCCAGGGGAGCAAACGGG
rnacentral:rRNA from 1 species